rnacentral:rRNA from 1 species
CUGCUAAUACCGCAUAAGCGCACAGUUCCGCAUGGAACAGUGUGAAAAACUCCGGUGGUGUGAGAUGGACCCGCGUCUGAUUAGCCAGUUGGCGGGGUAACGGCCCACCAAAGCGACGAUCAGUAGCCGGCCUGAGAGGGUGAACGGCCACAUUGGGACUGAGACACGGCCCGAACUCCUACGGGAGGCAGCAUG